ACCAACAAGUUGUGGUUUUACUGGGAGUUACCUGCUGUAACUAUUUCUUGGAUGGGCGCAGUAAUGGGCAUCAAUAAGGCCUUUUCAACAUGACUUAAUUAACUUUUUGGGCAAAUAGCACAUUUCAGUUUGUUGACAAACACAAUUGAGUUUGACAAGAAGAUACAAUCAAGCCAAGAUCUCUUGUUUCCACAAUGAUAGAAAUCAAGCUAAUGUCUUCAGUUGUCAUUUUCCUCAAGGCCGAUGGGUGAAACUUCUUCAAACAGACAGCAGUUUAAAGCUCCCGCAGCCCCUUUAAAGGCCCCAAUCAACAAGUGUCAGUUUGGGGUCAGCCAGCAAGCCGAGGCUGCCUGCGUCCUCCUGUUGCAGGCGGAAUAUUCUGGAGAGACUGGCCCAGCUGUCCCUCCUCCGCCGUUGAUCCACUCCGAUGCCUCUGGGCCACUAAACUGGCUCCAUUCAUGUGCUAAAGUGACAGCUGCUCCUCACAUUCUGCAGAAAAUUAACCGCAGAUGCAGGAAAUGCAAGCUGGGAGCCAAUAAAAAAUAUUUCACAGA